AUUUUGGACAAUGGGCGAAAGCCUGAUCCAGCAAUGCCGCGUGUGUGAAGAAGGCCUUCGGGUUGUAAAGCACUUUUGUCCGGAAAGAAAUCUCCUGGGCUAAUACCUCGGGGGGAUGACGGUACCGGAAGAAUAAGCACCGGCUAACUACGUGCCAGCAGCCGCGGUAAUACGUAGGGUGCGAGCGUUAAUCGGAAUUACUGGGCGUAAAGCGUGCGUAGGCGGCUAUGCAAGACAGAUGUGAAAUCCCCGGGCUUAACCUGGGAACUGCAUUUGUGACUGCAUGGCUAGAGUGUGUCAGAGGGAGGUGGAAUUCCGCGUGUAGCAGUGAAAUGCGUAGAGAUGCGGAGGAACACCGAUGGCGAAGGCAGCCUCCUGGGAUAACACUGACGCUCAGGCACGAAAGCGUGGGGAGCAAACAGG
rnacentral:rRNA from 1 species